rnacentral:rRNA from 1 species
UACGAAGGGGGCUAGCGUUGCUCGGAAUCAUUGGGCGUAAAGGGCGCGUAGGCGGAUCUUUAAGUCGGGGGUGAAAGCCUGAGGCUCAACCUCAGAAUUGCCUUCGAUACUGGAGAUCUUGAGACCGGAAGAGGUAAGUGGAACUGCGAGUGUAGAGGUGAAAUUCGUAGAUAUUCGCAAGAACACCAGUGGCGAAGGCGGCUUACUGGUCCGGUUCUGACGCUGAGGCGCGAAAGCGUGGGGAGCAAACAGG